rnacentral:rRNA from 1 species
UUUGCUCACACUCUAGCCUAUUCAGAGGCGAAUCCUAACGACGUCAGCAAGCUGUCGUCACCAGGAUACCAAUGAGAAGCCAGGUGGAACAGCCCUAAAGGUAUUCGUUGCAAUCCUCAAUCCCGAACACCACAUUCCGCUAAAGGUUAUAACACUCCCGAAGGAGCCACAUCCCUCCAGCCUUUUUAUGACGUUCGAAAUUGAUGUUAACCAGCGGACACGAAAGUGCUCCCUCUCGUCGGAGGUCACACGCUGUGGCGGUUUUGAGGCUCGCCACAGCAUGUGAUCUGACGACGAGAGGGUUGAUUUCGCGCCAGCACGACUGACUUCAAUCGUUUCCCUUUCAAUUCUGUGUGUCGCUCCACAUAAUCGCACCCAAAAGGCUGAUUACCCGCCGGUACGACUG